rnacentral:rRNA from 1 species
UGCACUUCGCUGACGAGUGGCGGACGGGUGAGUAAUGCUUGGGAACUUGCCUUUGCGAGGGGGAUAACAGUUGGAAACGACUGCUAAUACCGCAUAACGUCUACGGACCAAACGGGGCUUAGGCUCCGGCGCAAAGAGAGGCCCAAGUGAGAUUAGCUAGUUGGUAAGGUAAAGGCUUACCAAGGCAACGAUCUCUAGCUGUUCUGAGAGGAAGAUCAGCCACACUGGAACUGAGACACGGUCCAGACUCCUACGGGAGGCAGCAGUGGGGAAUAUUGCACAAUGGGGGAAACCCUGAUGCAGCCAUGCCGCGUGUGUGAAGAAGGCCUUCGGGUUGUAAAGCACUUUCAGUUGUGAGGAAAAGUUAGUAGUUAAUACCUGCUAGCCGUGACGUUAACAACAGAAGAAGCACCGGCUAACUCCGUGCCAGCAGCCGCGGUAAUACGGAGGGUGCGAGCGUUAAUCGGAAUUACUGGGCGUAAAGCGCACGCAGGCGGUUUGUUAAGCUAGAUGUGAAAGCCCCGGGCUCAACCUGGGAUGGUCAUUUAGAACUGGCAGACUAGAGUCUUGGAGAGGGGAGUGGAAUUCCAGGUGUAGCGGU